AAAAUAGGACUGUAAAGAAAACGAAGAGUCCAAAAGGAUUUAUACGGUUGUGUGUCAUGGAAGCCCAAAUUACCUGUACUAAGACACAACAUAAUGGAUCACACUAAGUUGGCACUGAUGCUAUAGUGCCCUAAGGUGGUGCUGCAUCUCGAGCUACCAGAAGGCAAGUACAAUUGAAGAUAACGUCGCAGACGUGCCGUGCUCCCCUUUCAUCAUUGCAAAAGGAGAGAACUUUCUUACUGCCGGGGCAUUUAUCAUCUGUAUUGAUACCCAUGCUGUGAUCGAAUCCACCACACGGUGCCAGGCAUUCAAGUUGAUGUUCUUUACACACUUCGCCUUUACUAUUGAAUACCGCAAG
rnacentral:lncRNA from 1 species